CGAAGCCUAUGAACCAGGUAGAAAAGGUUUUGCCGUCUUUCUGGCCUCGAAUCAUCGUGCAUAGCGCCAACUUAGAGUUAUCUCCCUCAUACUCCGUACACAAGUACAAUCCAAACUUUCAGAACCCUUCUUCAACACAACUUUGUUGUUAAACUUGAGGUAACUUUUACUGGUGCAUUAAUUCAUCCCUUUUACAAACUUCUUGAGCUUUACCUUCUUAUUAAUGGACCCGUUUUGGAACUCUUCUUAAAGCAAAAGUAUUUUACCUUCCAAUCAAUUGAGUCAUGUUAGAGGUAUUUUUAAUACAACAGGUUUUAUUAUAACACUGGUAAGUUUUACCUAUCCAGUAAUUAACCCGUGCAAUCCACACAUAUAUAUUAAAUUCUGAUUUUGUAUGUUCAGGAAGUUGUUAAAACUUUUCACCACAACUUUUUACCUGUCUGUUCACCUUGUAUAAUCCAAACAAUUGAAAAAUCAUCAAAACAACAAGUCGUUAACUCAGGUAAAUUUUUACCUGUAUAAUCCCAACAGUAGUAAUCCUUCAAGACAACAGGUGUGUAAAAUUCAGGUAGAUUUGACUUGUUUAUAUAAAUAUAUAUAUAUAUCACACGACAGACACUGUCAUAUUAUGAAGAAUGCUCCAAAACUCCCGAAUACUUUAAGAGCCACAUGUCUCGUAACGAGCGAUGUGUUAUGUCACAUUGUAAACAAAGCCCCCCGAACUGGAGAAAAUGUCCGUUGAUAUCCCUCCAACUGUACACACUGCAACAAGUCAUAUCGUAUUAGUCAUAGCACACGCGUGUAAUAACGAAAAAUCUAUAGUCACAUGGACGUGAACUGUGGAUACACUCACAGGUGGUCAGAGUCCCAGGAACACUUUUUCACCUGUCCUCCUCGCCGUCACUCUCACUCAGGUAAACCUUUUACCUGUGAUCUGUGUCACGGCAAGACGGCAAGACGAGCCUAAGAUUCCACAUGACCAGUAUACACGGCUAGGAAGGGAGAGUUCCAAACACUCACCACCGCUCACACACUCAAACACAUACAGGAUGUUAUAACGCAGUUGCCCACUGAACAGAACGCGGAGUAUAGUGUACACACAUAGAACAGGCCGAGAACCAGUCCACUCUACAUACAGCCCCACUUCAGUCUGUGUGUGUGUAUACAGGUAUAUAGGCUAUACACUGGUACUACCUGUAGAAUGGGUGAAGAAGCAGCAGCUACCGUGACCAGUCAAGUGUGAUGGUGACAUCACAAGAGACAGGUCAAAGGUCAGCCAGCAUACCUGUGGUUCAGCUGGCAUGACUUAAUUUCCAGGCUAACACACACGAUGAAAUGACGAACGAGGCAGAAAUGAAGUAUAGAUGAUAUUGAUAACUGAUAAACACUGACCCACCAGCUGUGGAAUGAAUCCAUCAACAACACAGGGAAACAGAUAAUUCUAACCGGCUGUACAACCGAAGGUUGAUCACUUGGUGCAAACUGAUUAUAAGUGAUGAUCAGAAAGAAACGAACCAUGUUCAGGGAUGUGAGAGGGGCUGGAACAAAAAAGGCUUACUGUGGUCGAGGUCCAAGGGCCGCCCAAGGGUUCCUGAAUGAAAAUUGUUGUUUCCAACCCCUGGAACUGCCAAAAAUUGCCUUUAAUGCUAACAAAUCUCAACUGGUUAUAACAUAUAAUAUAAGGCACACAUCAUAAACUUGAAAACAUGCUAAUGAACCUUGUGUGGUCAACAUUAUUGAACAUCAUGUUUUUUGGGGUUUUUUUUAGAUGAAAUGGAAAAGUGCAUUCCCGGGUUUCCGCGUAGCUGUCACCUCCCUGUAUGUAGGGAAGGGCAGUUCAAUGCACAUUUACUCAUAAAGUUUAAGUUGGUUUUGUUUAAUGACACCACUAGAGCACUUUGACAUAUUGAAGGAAGGAAAUG